AGAGAUUAGGGCUGAGGGCUAAGUUGCCGUUGAUUUCGACUGAGCAAAAAGAGUUCAGUUGACACGUGUGGGUUAUGCUUUUGCUUAUCGAGGAACCGGAAGAAGAAGCAUUAAGAGGAGUUAUACUGCGUUUGGUUUAUCUGUUGUUGAAUUAAUUAGAUUAUUCUCUUCCCUCGUCUUUGUUAUUACAAUUUUGUAAGAUGGAUAGGAGUU